rnacentral:rRNA from 1 species
AUGGCUCAGAUUGAACGCUGGCGGCAGGCCUAACACAUGCAAGUCGAGCGGUAGCACAGAGAGCUUGCUCUCGGGUGACGAGCGGCGGACGGGUGAGUAAUGUCUGGGAAACUGCCUGAUGGAGGGGGAUAACUACUGGAAACGGUAGCUAAUACCGCAUAACGUCGCAAGACCAAAGUGGGGGACCUUCGGGCCUCAUGCCAUCAGAUGUGCCCAGAUGGGAUUAGCUAGUAGGUGGGGUAAUGGCUCACCUAGGCGACGAUCCCUAGCUGGUCUGAGAGGAUGACCAGCCACACUGGAACUGAGACACGGUCCAGACUCCUACGGGAGGCAGCAGUGGGGAAUAUUGCACAAUGGGCGCAAGCCUGAUGCAGCCAUGCCGCGUGUAUGAAGAAGGCCUUCGGGUUGUAAAGUACUUUCAGCGAGGAGGAAGGCGUUAAGGUUAAUAACCUUGGCGAUUGACGUUACUCGCAGAAGAAGCACCGGCUAACUCCGUGCCAGCAGCCGCGGUAAUACGGAGGGUGCAAGCGUUAAUCGGAAUUACUGGGCGUAAAGCGCACGCAGGCGGUCUGUCAAGUCGGAUGUGAAAUCCCCGGGCUCAACCUGGGAACUGCAUUCGAAACUGGCAGGCUAGAGUCUUGUAGAGGGGGGUAGAAUUCCAGGUGUAGCGGUGAAAUGCGUAGAGAUCUGGAGGAAUACCGGUGGCGAAGGCGGCCCCCUGGACAAAGACUGACGCUCAGGUGCGAAAGCGUGGGGAGCAAACAGGAUUAGAUACCCUGGUAGUCCACGCCGUAAACGAUGUCGACUUGGAGGUUGUGCCCUUGAGGCGUGGCUUCCGGAGCUAACGCGUUAAGUCGACCGCCUGGGGAGUACGGCCGCAAGGUUAAAACUCAAAUGAAUUGACGGGGGCCCGCACAAGCGGUGGAGCAUGUGGUUUAAUUCGAUGCAACGCGAAGAACCUUACCUACUCUUGACAUCCAGAGAACUUAGCAGAGAUGCUUUGGUGCCUUCGGGAACUCUGAGACAGGUGCUGCAUGGCUGUCGUCAGCUCGUGUUGUGAAAUGUUGGGUUAAGUCCCGCAACGAGCGCAACCCUUAUCCUUUGUUGCCAGCGGUCCGGCCGGGAACUCAAAGGAGACUGCCAGUGAUAAACUGGAGGAAGGUGGGGAUGACGUCAAGUCAUCAUGGCCCUUACGAGUAGGGCUACACACGUGCUACAAUGGCAUAUACAAAGAGAAGCGACCUCGCGAGAGCAAGCGGACCUCAUAAAGUAUGUCGUAGUCCGGAUUGGAGUCUGCAACUCGACUCCAUGAAGUCGGAAUCGCUAGUAAUCGUAGAUCAGAAUGCUACGGUGAAUACGUUCCCGGGCCUUGUACACACCGCCCGUCACACCAUGGGAGUGGGUUGCAAAAGAAGUAGGUAGCUUAACCUUCGGGA